rnacentral:piRNA from 1 species
UUCUGACCUUGCUUACCUGCCUGGAU